UAGGAAUGUAAAUACGGUAGAUUGUAAAUCUAUAACAGACUUAGUCUCCUAUUAAA
rnacentral:tRNA from 1 species